UAGUUUCUGCUUCAAAUGUUUCAAAAUGUUUCUCUGAAUUCUAAACUGUUUCAUCAGAUUCAGUUUCACAUCAACACUCAGAUAUGUUGUCUGAACCAGAACUAAAGGAUUUUCUCUGUUGGAAACAUGUCAGGGUGGUGCAGCGGGUAUCACAUGCUCACAGCAAUAAGGUCUUAGGUUCAGCUACCAUUAAAGUUCAGGUCCAUUCUGUGUGGAGUUUACAUGUUCUCUCCGUGUCUGUGAGUUUAUUCCUGACAUUAAAAUCAUGUUCAUUAGUUUCUGGCUCCUCCCACUGCCCUUGAACAAGGUAGUGUCUGUAGACCUGUCCUGAGUCUUCUCUGUGGCUCAUUUUUUUCAUCAGAUCCUCAGAUCACUCCCUCCACCUUCUCAACACCCUCUCCUCACUGGUCAGCACAUUAACAUCUACAACCUUUAUUACUUACCUACUGUACAUCCUUUCCAGUUCUGUGUCCAAUCAAAACAAGUACUUUUCUCUUUCUUCAUCCACAGUUCAAUGUGUCCUUUCUUUAGUUUUUGUCUCUUUUCUUUUCACUUUACACCACCUCCUCCUGUCUCCUGUCCACUUUCUUCUCCUUUCCAAUGAUCUCAGUUCUUUUCGCCAACCUCUUUUCUCCUUAUACUUUCCUGAACACCUUCAUUCCUCCUCCCAGUCUCCUUGUCUCCCCUCCAGUGGCCAGAUGUUACAUCCAGCACCUUCCUGUCUGUCUCCCUCAGCACAUCUGCAGGACUUUUCCCGUUGUCUAUAAUCACAUUACCUUCAUCCAGUGCCAAGAGGCCUUAAUGUGGUACUGUAAAUCUCCCAAAAAAUGGACAAGAAAACACUGAGCAUGCGAAGAAGCGACACUACAAUGUGGCACACUGGGGAGGACGUCACAGACUGACUGAAUCAGGAAUUUUAUCCAGUGUGGCUCCACCUUCCACAACUCUGGCCACAAGAUCUUCCAUUCCAUCACCUGGUCCAUGCUACUUGCUGCUCCAUCCUGACUGUCCUGCUCUCGCAGGUUUCCUCCACCCAAACUCAGAUUUCAUCCUGAGUUUGGGUGGAUUUCAUCCAUCACCAACAGUUCCUAAAACCAAUUUAAAAUCCUCAGAGAAAUGUUUUGGAUCAGUAGACUUAAGGUCCCAACUUUUCCUGGACUGAAUGUUGAAUGUGACUUUGUUCUGUUUUUCUGUUUUUGUUAUUUGUGGACUCAAAUUGAUACGUAACCCGGGAGAGGUCACUUAAAGUGAUAUUUUUUUUCUGACCAUGAUAAUUUGUGCACGUUUUCCUUUAAUUGAGCCCACGAUUUAAUAAAAUGUGAUCACAAAUUAAUAAAAUGUGCGCACGUUUUCCUGGCCGUGAUAAUUUGUGCGCACGUUUUAAUGGCCAUUCGUGCGCACGUUUUACUUUAAUUGAGCCCUCAAAUUAUAGUAAAACGUGCGCACGUUUUCUUUGCAUUCAAAAUGAUAUGACAUAAAUUGUUAUCCUCACGACGGGGAGACGCUUCGCCCUCAGCAUCCUUUUUAAUGUGCUUAAAGUCCAGAUGAUGUCAUGCUGGGCAGCUGGAGUUCUCUGUAUGUCCUUGUGCG